GGGGUCGAAGUGGCAACCCAUGAAACCGAGAAUAAACGAGAGGCCUGCCCUGAGUAAAGUUGCAAAAGUUUCAGUCCAUGGACACUUGCUGCUGGAAGACAUGGGAGAGAGAGUCAAGCUACAGCAGUAAGUUUCCAGGGCCUGACCACUGGGACCACUGUGAGGAGAGGAAGCACCUCCC
rnacentral:lncRNA from 1 species